CCUACGGGAGGCAGCAGUAGGGAAUCUUCCACAAUGGACGAAAGUCUGAUGGAGCAACGCCGCGUGAGUGAAGAAGGUUCUCGGAUCGUAAAACUCUGUUGUGAGGGAAGAACAAGUACCGGAGUAACUGCCGGUACCUUGACGGUACCUCAUUANAAAGCCACGGCUAACUACGUGCCAGCAGCCGCGGUAAUACNUANGUGGCAAGCGUUGUCCGGAAUCAUUGGGCGUAAAGCGCGCGCAGGCGGCCCCUUAAGUCUGAUGUGAAAGCCCACGGCUCAACCGUGGAGGGUCAUUGGAAACUGGGGGACUUGAGUGCAGAAGAGGAAAGCGGAAUUCCAAGUGUAGCGGUGAAAUGCGUAGAGAUUUGGAGGAACACCAGUGGCGAAGGCGGCUUUCUGGUCUGUAACUGACGCUGAGGCGCGAAAGCGUGGGGAGCAAACAGGAUUAGAUACCCUGGUAGUCCACGCCGUAAACGAUGAGUGCUAAGUGUUAGGGGGUUUCCGCCCCUUAGUGCUGCAGCUAACGCAUUAAGCACUCCGCCUGGGGAGUACGGUCGCAAGACUGAAACUCAAAGGAAUUGACGGA
rnacentral:rRNA from 1 species